rnacentral:rRNA from 1 species
GACGAACGCUGGCGGCGUGCUUAACACAUGCAAGUCGAGCGGUAAGGCCCUUUCGGGGUACGACGAGCGGCGAACGGGUGAGUAACACGUGGGUGACCUGCCCUCAGCUCUGGGAGUAAGCCUGGGAAACGUGGGUCUAAUACCGGAUAUGACUCCAUGACGCAUGUUGGUGGGGUGGAAAGCCUUGUGCGGCUGAGGAUGGGCCCGCGGCCUAUCAGCUUGUUGGNGGGGUGANGGCCUACCAAGGCGACGACGGGUAGCCGGCCU